UGGGGAAUAUUGCACAAUGGAGGGAACUCUGAUGCAGCGACGCCGCGUGAACGAAGAAGGCUUUCGAGUCGUAAAGUUCUUUUAUAUGGGAAGAUAAUGACGGUACCAUAAGAAAAAGCCCCGGCUAACUACGUGCCAGCAGCCGCGGUAAUACGUAGGGGGCUAGCGUUGUCCGGAAUCACUGGGCGUAAAGGGUUCGCAGGCGGAAAUGCAAGUCAGGUGUAAAAGGCAGUAGCUUAACUACUGUAAGCAUUUGAAACUGCAUAUCUUGAGAAGAGUAGAGGUAAGUGGAAUUUUUAGUGUAGCGGUGAAAUGCGUAGAUAUUAAAAAGAAUACCGGUGCGAAGGCGACUUACUGGGCUCAUUCUGACGCUGAGGAACGAAAGCGUGGGUAGCAAACAGG
rnacentral:rRNA from 1 species